rnacentral:tRNA from 1 species
GCCAGGAUCGCAUAAUUCGGUAUUGCGCCGGUCUCGAAAACCGGUUCCGUAAGGAAUUCUGGGUUCAAAUCCCAGUUCUGGCG